rnacentral:piRNA from 1 species
UGACAAAUGUUCAUUCUAGUGGCAUUGUGA